CAGGAUGACGCUGGCGGCGUGCCUAAUACAUGCAAGUCGAACGCUUUGUGGUUCAACUGAUUUGAAGAGCUUGCUCAGAUAUGACGAUGGACAUUGCAAAGAGUGGCGAACGGGUGAGUAACACGUGGGAAACCUACCUCUUAGCAGGGGAUAACAUUUGGAAACAGAUGCUAAUACCGUAUAACAAUGACAACCGCAUGGUUGUUAUUUAAAAGAUGGUUCUGCUAUCACUAAGAGAUGGUCCCGCGGUGCAUUAGCUAGUUGGUAAGGUAAUGGCUUACCAAGGCGAUGAUGCAUAGCCGAGUUGAGAGACUGAUCGGCCACAAUGGGACUGAGACACGGCCCAUACUCCUACGGGAGGCAGCAGUAGGGAAUCUUCCACAAUGGGCGAAAGCCUGAUGGAGCAACGCCGCGUGUGUGAUGAAGGGUUUCGGCUCGUAAAACACUGUUGUAAGAGAAGAAUGACAUUGAGAGUAACUGUUCAAUGUGUGACGGUAUCUUACCAGAAAGGAACGGCUAAAUACGUGCCAGCAGCCGCGGUAAUACGUAUGUUCCAAGCGUUAUCCGGAUUUAUUGGGCGUAAAGCGAGCGCAGACGGUUAUUUAAGUCUGAAGUGAAAGCCCUCAGCUCAACUGAGGAAUUGCUUUGGAAACUGGAUGACUUGAGUGCAGUAGAGGAAAGUGGAACUCCAUGUGUAGCGGUGAAAUGCGUAGAUAUAUGGAAGAACACCAGUGGCGAAGGCGGCUUUCUGGACUGUAACUGACGUUGAGGCUCGAAAGUGUGGGUAGCAAACAGGAUUAGAUACCCUGGUAGUCCACACCGUAAACGAUGAGUGCUAGGUGUUUGAGGGUUUCCGCCCUUAAGUGCCGCAGCUAACGCAUUAAGCACUCCGCCUGGGGAGUACGACCGCAAGGUUGAAACUCAAAGGAAUUGACGGGGACCCGCACAAGCGGUGGAGCAUGUGGUUUAAUUCGAAGCAACGCGAAGAACCUUACCAGGUCUUGACAUCCCUUGACAACUCCAGAGAUGGAGUGUUCCCUUCGGGGACAAGGUGACAGGUGGUGCAUGGUUGUCGUCAGCUCGUGUCGUGAGAUGUUGGGUUAAGUCCCGCAACGAGCGCAACCCUUAUUACUAGUUGCCAGCAUUCAGUUGGGCACUCUAGUGAGACUGCCGGUGACAAACCGGAGGAAGGUGGGGAUGACGUCAAAUCAUCAUGCCCCUUAUGACCUGGGCUACACACGUGCUACAAUGGCGUAUACAACGAGUUGCCAACCCGCGAGGGUGAGCUAAUCUCUUAAAGUACGUCUCAGUUCGGAUUGUAGGCUGCAACUCGCCUACAUGAAGUCGGAAUCGCUAGUAAUCGCGGAUCAGCACGCCGCGGUGAAUACGUUCCCGGGUCUUGUACACACCGCCCGUCACACCAUGAGAGUUUGUAACACCCAAAGCCGGUGGGGUAACCUUCGGGAGCCAGCCGUCUAAGGUGGGACAGAUGAUUAGGG
rnacentral:rRNA from 1 species